rnacentral:misc_RNA from 1 species
UACGGACUGUGCAAACGUUAUUCGGAAUCACCGGGCUUAAAGGGUGCGUAGGCGGCCCGAUAAGUAGGGUGUGAAAUCUCCCGGCCCAACCGGGGAACUGCGCUCUAAACUGUCGGGCUUGAGUGAGAUAGGGGUGUGCGGAACUUCCAGUGGAGCGGUGAAAUGUGUUGAUAUUGGAAGGAACACCGGUGGCGAAAGCGGCACACUGGGUCUCAACUGACGCUCAUGCACGAAAGCCAGGGUAGCGAACGGG